GACGAACGCUGGCGGCGUGCCUAAUACAUGCAAGUCGAGCGGAUUGAUGGGAGCUUGCUCCCUGAUAUCAGCGGCGGACGGGUGAGUAACACGUGGGCAACCUGCCUAUAAGACUGGGAUAACUUCGGGAAACCGGAGCUAAUACCGGAUAAUCCCUUUCCUCUCAUGAGGAAAGGCUGAAAGAUGGUUAACGCUAUCACUUAUAGAUGGGCCCGCGGCGCAUUAGCUAGUUGGUGAGGUAACGGCUCACCAAGGCAACGAUGCGUAGCCGACCUGAGAGGGUGAUCGGCCACUGGGACUGAGACACGGCCCAGACUCCUACGGGAGGCAGCAGUAGGGAAUCUUCCGCAAUGGACGAAAGUCUGACGGAGCAACGCCGCGUGAGUGAUGAAGGUUUUCGGAUCGUAAAACUCUGUUGUUAGGGAAGAACAAGUACGAGAGUAACUGCUCGUACCUUGACGGUACCUAACCAGAAAGCCACGGCUAACUACGUGCCAGCCGCCGCGGUAA
rnacentral:rRNA from 1 species